rnacentral:rRNA from 1 species
UGUCUUCUAAAUAAAGACCUGUAUGAAUGGCUAAAUGAAUAUUUUACUGUCUCCUCUAACCAAUCAAUGAAACUGAUCUUUCAGUACAAAAGCUGAAAUAAACCCAUAAGACGAGAAGACCCUGUGGAGCUUUAAGCUUAUAUCAAUACCCCUUUACUAAAAGAGUAUAUGAUUAAUACUUUAAGUUGGGGCGACUUUGGAGAAAAACAAAACCUCCAAGAAAAAUAAGGCCCUGCCUAAACAAGGCUAACAAGCCAAAAAUAAUGCGACCCAGUACUACUGAUCAACGAACCAAGUUACCCCAGGGAUAACAGCGCCAUCUUCUUCAAGAGUUCAUAUCGACAAGAAGGUUUACGACCUCGAUGUUGGAUCAGGACACCCAAAUGGUGCAGCCGCUAUUAAAGGUUCGUUUGUUCAACGAUUAAUAGU